ensembl:lincRNA
AUUGGCUGUAGCAUAGGAGCGCAGCUAUUCGUUGGCUACUGGUCUUCAUCAACUCACUCAUGACAGUAAAUAGCAUUGUAUACCUGGGAAUUCUUGCUGUUACAGAUGGGCCCACCACAUCCACAGCUCGAACCUGCCAGACUUCUUAACUCCUUCUGCUCUGUGGAGAAGAUAUUGCAGUGCAGUUGUUCCUUCCAUGGGAUCCCCACUCCUUCUGUGCAUUGGAAGGGGCCCUUUGGCUCCCCAGAUUUUCCUGGAAGCUCUGCUACGGGGUGUUGUCUAUGCAGCCAUGGCAAUCACACUACUUUUUCUCUGCCUCCUCCCCUUCAUCAAAAAGAAGAUAACCCGAAGCCAAGGAAGACCAUGGAAACUGCAUCAUGUACAAAGUUCCCAUCACCCUGGGAAUUACAAAAACCCAUGGAGACUCCAGAACCCCCAAGUUCAUAAUAAACUUGAGGUCCUGCAGAUC